UUCCACCAACUUCUUUGACAAAUAUAAGCAUUCAUUAGGCUAGGAGUUCAAUUACAUUAAGUAAUAUGAACAACAAAGAAUAGGCACAGUGUAUAUUAAUUAUAUAAAAGGUGCAUCUAUCCUAACUUGCAGUUAAGAUUGCUCAGCUAGCAACGUCAAACGAAGAGACCAGUUAGACAUGACAAACCUUGAUGCUGAAUGCAUAGAGUGGUCCAUGCAUGUUUAUCUUAAAACAGAAUUUUUUGCAGAUCUAUCUUGAAGAAAUUGUAAAGUUACAAAAUACUUUGCAAGAAAUGCAAGGUCAGCUAGAUGAAGCUCAUGCUGCAAUUAUCGAUGAGAAAGAAGCAGCCAAGACAGCCAUUGAACAAGCUCCACCAGUAAUCAAAGAGGUACUAGUUGUGGAUGAAACCAAGCUGGAAAUACUCAGAAAUCACAAGGAGCUAGAGGGUGAGCUAAGUGAACUGAAGAAGAAAGUUGAGGAAUUUGAAGUGAAGUUUUCUCAAGUAGAGAAACAAAAGCCAAGAGAGACUUCAAGAGGCAGAAGAUGCGAGGCCGAAAACAAUGCAGCUUCAAGAAACAAUUGGAAGGUAAAGAAAGAACAGCUUUAUCACAAACAUCGAGGUCACUAUAACCUGUGCUUGACUAACUAUUUUGUAUUCUCGGACUAAUCAAACUCGUCCAACCUCGAAUCUGAAAAUCAGGUGCUACGCCAACAGGCUCUUGGUGCAUCAAUGAAUGAAGCAGUCUCUGAAGAAUUGAAAAUGUAAGAAUCCACAACAUAGUACAAUCUGAUGUUUGAUUCAGAAUUCUAUUAACUCAAUUUGACUUGGGAACUAUUCAAGUAUUUAAUAACUCUCCAAUAAUAUUGCAAAUUUGCUACUGUUAAAAAUGGUUGUCCGAGCAUAGUUCUGAACUAUUUAUUUUUGUCCAGCUUAAAAGAGUAAGAUCCAAGAUUUGGAAUCAGAAAAUGAGUUACUCCACAACAAGGUUGUAGUUAUUGAGCACAAAACUACUUCUGAGAAUUUACCUGUCAAGAGCCUUGAGAAUGGGAAUCCAACAGAGUAAGAGAAUCAAAGACCUAAAGUAUUUUCCUAAUAUUUUAACUAGAUGGUCUUCGAGAACAGAUUACUAUCAAAUAGAUACUUCGCAUCUUUAAUCACGUCAGUAAGUCAAUCUUUUCUACAAGAGUCUUGGGAAUGGGAAUCCAACAGAAGAAGAAAAUUCAAAGAACCAAGAGUCUUGAGGAUGGGAAUCAAAUAGAGGAAGAGAUUUAAAGAACUAAAAGGUAUUUUCCAACUUUCUUGAUCAGAUUCUCUUCAAGAAUAGAAUGCAUUGGUACUUAUCAUCUGUCAUUACUUACCAAAAUGAGUGAAUGCUUUUUUCAGGAAACUGUUCCUGUUGUGUCCCGCUUAACUAAACAAAGAUCUCUCACAGACACGCAGCAGGUAUGUGGUUAUAAUCUGAAAUUAUAGCCAAAUUUUUUACAGAUUUAUAUAAAUUUCUGUCAAAUUACAGCAAAUUUUUUACAGAUUAUGCUAACAUAUGCGGUUAAAGAAAAUAUACGGAAUGAUCAGAGUUCAGAGAUAGUUUAAAGAAAGAGAUUAGCCCAUUUUUGAUCUUAUGCAUUUUGGUUAUACUCAUUUUUAUGGAAGAUUACAUUUUUGACAUCUACAUGUAUAUGAGGUGCCUACAACCACAAGUAAAACCCCAUUUACAGGCACCGAGAUUAGAAUGUAAUUAAAUUAAGAAAAACCUGAAAUUAUUAUUAUUAUCAUUUUAUUUUUUGCAAAAGAAACUUCAAUGAAAGAAAAAUAUACGGAGUAAAAAGGUUACUGAAUUCAGAGAUUUUUCUUUUCUUUAGCUCUGAAAUAUUCGAAAAAAUAAAAUAAUUUAGUAAAAUAUUAAACCCUUACAUCACGAUAAUAAAUUAAAAACCAAAUAUUUGUAAUAAAGAUAUAAUGAUUUCACAAACUCCAUCUAUAAACUGUUUGCAAUUAUAGCAAAGAAUACAUUUUCUUCUGAGAAAAAAAUAAAUAAACAAAAUCAAUCAAAAGGAAAAUCAAUAUUGGGUAUGACAGGGGAAAAAAAAAAAUAUAUAUAUAUAUAUAUAUAUAUAUAUAUAUA